UACGUAGGGUGCGAGCGUUAAUCGGAAUUACUGGGCGUAAAGUGUGCGCAGGCGGCAGAGCAAGUCGAGUGUGAAAGCCCCGGGCUUAACUUGGGAAUUGCGCUCGAAACUACUUUGCUGGAGUGUGGCAGAGGAAGGUGGAAUUCCACGUGUAGCGGUGAAAUGCGUAGAGAUGUGGAGGAACACCAAUGGCGAAGGCAGCCUUCUGGGCCAACACUGACGCUUAUGCACGAAAGCGUGGGGAGCAAACAGG
rnacentral:rRNA from 1 species